rnacentral:rRNA from 1 species
CUACGGGCCGCAGCAGUGGGGAAUAUUGCACAAUGGGCGCAAGCCUGAUGCAGCCAUGCCGCGUGUAUGAAGAAGGCCUUCGGGUUGUAAAGUACUUUCAGCGGGGAGGAAGGGAGUAAAGUUAAUACCUUUGCUCAUUGACGUUACCCGCAGAAGAAGCACCGGCUAACUCCGUGCCAGCAGCCGCGGGAAUACGGAGGGUGCAAGCGUUAAUCGGAAUUACUGGGCGUAAAGCGCACGCAGGCGGUUUGUUAAGUCAGAUGUGAAAUCCCCGGGCUCAACCUGGGAACUGCAUCUGAUACUGGCAAGCUUGAGUAUCGUAGAGGGGGGUAGAAUUCCAGGUGUAGCGGUGAAAUGCGUAGAGAUCUGGAGGAAUACCGGUGGCGAAGGCGGCCCCCUGGACGAAGACUGACGCUCAGGUGCGAAAGCGUGGGGAGCAAACAGGAUUAGAUACCCUUGUAGUC